CUACGAAGGGGGCUAGCGUUGUUCGGAAUUACUGGGCGUAAAGCGCGCGUAGGCGGAUUGGUCAGUUAGGGGGGAAAUCCCAGGGCUUAACCCUGGAACUGCCUCUAAUACUGCCAGUCUUGAGUUCGGGAGAGGUGAGUGGAAUUCCUAGUGUAGAGGUGAAAUUCGUAGAUAUUAGGAAGAACACCAGUGGCGAAGGCGGCUCACUGGCCCGAUACUGACGCUGAGGCGCGAAAGCGUGGGGAGCAAACAGGAUUAGAAACCCUAGUAGUCC
rnacentral:rRNA from 1 species